UUGAAGGCGUAGUCGGAGGCUGCUCCCGCAACUGUAGGCGGUAUGCUUCUGGUUUGGUCGCGUAGAACGUGCGCCACUGUUUUCAUCAGGAAACGGGAAGGUUGAAUCAGCAAGCCAUAAUCCGCGAGCCAGGAGACCUGCCAUCGUCCAGCCACCAGC
rnacentral:ncRNA from 1 species